ACUUGCUGCCAUUAGCGACAUCAGCUGCAACAAGUAUAAUAGAAACUUGAGCACUGGUGAUGGCCGCAGCAGGAAGGAAAUAUACCCGGGUCGUUUAAACAUACUAUUUUGGUUUUCAAACUAAGUGUCAAUGAACAAUACACAGAACAAUUUGAGUGUAUAUAAAACAAAUACUUACUGGUUCGUGGGCGGCGCUGAGAGGGGGAAGACCACCUCCUCUUCCUCGUAUUCAGGUCCAUCCUGCAUGUCGCUUUCAUCCACAGUUCCGAGUCCCCCGUAGCCUGGGGGCGGUGGGGGAGGUGGAGGCAGAGGGGGGAAGACACUUGACCCGUCGGGACCCACCGAGGUGGGUGACAUCCGGAUGCCGGGUCCCUCCGAGGUGGGGGAGUAGCACACACUGCCAAUGGUCCCUGAACUUGUUCCUAUAAUAAUUGCAUGUCCGCCACUCCCUGUAGCUGACAAGGCAGGUCCGGCAGUAUCUCCUCCAGACACGGGGUAAAUCAUACUUAUAUCAGGGGGGGAGUCUGGGGAGGUGUUCAACGGGUGGCGGAGGUUUGUUGCAGCUCCCUGGCCCAAAUCAGUGACCCGCACUCUGGUCGGGUUGGGAUAAAACGGAAAAUGGGCCGUCUCUGGGCCUCCACCGCCCGCCACCCCUUUCCCUGCCGAGACAGAGCCCGUAUCGUCGCUACUGACCUCCGCAGCCAUCAUUUUCGGAAAAUACGUAGAGGGGAAUAAGUAGAGAAGGGAACCUGCCCUUCCCCUCUAGUCUUGCAGCACCCCCUCACUGCUUGGGUUGGUAAAAACAGCACCAAAAGUUUAUUGGAAAACAACACAUUAACGGUAGCCAGCUAGCGCUAGCUAGUGGUUAGCUAAUAACGCAAACUCGUAAGCUAAACUCUAGCCAAAGCUAGUUAGCUACAGUAGCUAGCUAUGAAGACACGAGUUUUCAUGAGUUUAAAGUUCUACUAGAAUUGCGGUUUUGAAAAUAACGUUUAAAUACCUGAAGGGAGAGGCAGAUGACGUAUUUAAUUCCUUUUUCCCCCCUAGUCCUGCCUGCUCCCUUGGCAGCCACCAGUCUACUUGUCGUCUGUGCCCACUCUGAUGACUUCUCCCAUCACUCGGGAAGACACAUCAGGGGCAUCCUUGUGUAUUAUCAUGAACAGGGUAUUAAAAGGAGGUCCUUAGCCCUGGUGAUGGAGGCUGCUGCAGCUUCAGGACUACCUGUGUCUUUAGUUAAGAACUGGAUUUGUAACUAUGGGUGUUCACUUAAUACCUCCUGCAAAACCUGGCGCCGCAAAGCUGCUGGUUAUAAGUGCAGUGUCUGCUUAUAACUUGUUUUGCGCAGAGCAGCUGAAGGGGAAAGACUUUCCUUUCUCUAUAUAUUUCAGUCCUUCUACCCUCUCUCUCAAUUCUCUCUUUCCCAGGGCAUGGAGGGAUAUCAACAUCUCAUUCUUGAUGACAGCACCACUGUACAUUCCACAACUGGAGUGAUUUUACAUAUUUUCAGGGCACAAGACUGGGAUUUAAGGAGAGCCAUAGAGCGAGGGAGAGAGGGAGAGAGGGAGAGAGGGAGAGAUAGAGAGAGAGAGAGAAAGUAAGUAAGUACUGGGUGACAUCUCCUGUCUCUCCCUAUCUAUGUUUCCACGUGGUGGCCUGGGCUAGCUCCCUGCUGACUCACACUCGUUUGUUGAUCUAAUGUGACUACCAUCCACUUCACCCCCCCUUUCUUCUACCCCCACUCCUCCGAAAGACCGCUGGGCCGUUCCACGAAAAGAGCGCAUUUGGAUAUUUUAAGUAGAAAUUUAAAACCCUGUUAUAUUAAAUGAAGGGCCCUUUAAUAUGGACUACAUGAAUAAAGGCUUGCUAAAGUGUCAAAAUUCAGCAUUUUGACUUCUAGGAAGAUUUGAAGCUACUUUAAUCACAACACUUCUCAGUUUCACCCUUGUCAUUUUGUUGCUUUGACAAUGUAAUUUCUGAAGAUUAGUAUGUAUUUAAUGUGAUUAGUGAUGUAUUUACAUCUGUCCCUCCUUUUAAAGGUCAACUUGUUACUCUCCUUUUAAUAUGGUGAAACUAUUCAUUUUGAGAACAAAAAAUUCAAAACAAACAUUGAACAUCUAAUAGUCAAAUCGUUGCGUAAAAGCAGUUCAGUUGGUUCUUCUUUUUUUGUGUGUCAAUUUUCUGUUAUUUUGUGGUGGAAAACUGAGCUGGUCGAGCAUAGCACAUCAACCCUGUUACCCAUAGAUAAGCUAGAAAUGUUUAAACAAUUUCAUUUGUUUUUUUGUGAAGCUUGCAUUCAAUUGCCACUCCCUGUUGCACAUAACAAGCUUCCAUUCCCCCCUGUCUCAAGGGGAUUUAUGUAUGAUUUAAUUAAGAAUAAAUAGUCAACCCUGUUACAGUCAAUCCUGUUACAUAAAUGCACAGACAUCCACAUACACAUCAAGAAUGUUGCUUGAUUGGAAGACAGAGCCCCUUGUGGCUAGCACUUUGGCUAGCACUUUGGCUAACACUCCAGCAAGCAUGAUGUGACCAGUGUAGUUUGGCCUGGUUUGGUGGUGUAAUCUGGGGGAGCAGGGUCAUCACCUGUCCCUCUGCCUAUGUAGCUGUAUCCCGCCGGGGCCUCCCAGACUGAAAGUAAUUAGAUUUCCGGCAGGAUGUGGCUAGUCGCUUUUACCUGGAAGGCAGACUGGGUGGAAGAGGACCAAUACCCAGUGCUUAAUUUGUAAAUCGGGAGGUGCCGGAACAAAAAGUGAGUGGAGGGUACCUGAACGCAUGAGUAAAAACAUCAUUGCGUGCAUAUCAUUGCAUUUGCAUAGUGGCAUAGAGCAGUAGAGUAGAGGCACAGAUGGGGAUCAUUUUUAGUAGCCUAGGGUCUGGGAAAAAUGUGGCCUUUUAGAAACGCAUUUCAUGCAAUUCUAGGUGAAUUUACACAACUGGAGACUUCGGCAGAAUCUUUUUUAAAACCGCACAAAUGAUCAUAAUGGCAGACUACUUUGACACUGACAAGAUAUUGAUCCUCUGUGGCUAAAUUACAGGCCAUUUGAUGUAUUUUUCUGAAGACUAUUUUUUUCAUUCUAUAACUUAGGAACAAUCUUUUUUUUUAUCAGUGGUGCUGAAGCUCCUCUGAAACCCUUUGCGCAGCUAUGAUUCUAUAAGGAAAUAAAUGAUGAAGUGCAACGCUGGAGAGAUGAGAGUUGCAGGCCCAUGUCUAUCAGAGAAGAGAGAGAUCAUAGAACGUCAAUCUUAUUCUAGUUCUGUGAGAGAAACUGGCGCGCUUCUCACACAGCGACAGCCACGCGUUGGUCUCAUACAUAGAUUCCAAUAUAUUGUGCAAACCAUAAGCCCGGAUCCUGUUCCGGCAGGAUGCGGCUAAAAUUAAGCACUGCCAAUUCCUGCUGAGAAGUGGAGAACUCCACCCUCGGCCUCACCUAUUGGUGGAGGAAAGCAGUAGUUAAAACCUGGAAGGAGUUAGGAGGAGCCACUGGGAGAGCAGGGGUUAUUCUGACAGACAGCCAGAGGGAGAAAGGGUGUAUGAAGGAGAGCAAGAGGGCAAAGUCACCAUUCUGCUAUGUUUCAUAGUAACCGGUUUGUCGGAUGAGAAUACCAGGCACUGAUUUGAGAAUAGCGGGAGCCUGACUGAGUGCAGAGAUGUUCUCAUUCAUAUUCAACACUGAAUUAUCAUAAGGCUUCAUUCAGCAGACCUCUCAGUCAAAGUCACACUUUGAAGCAUCAUUGUUUGUUGUUUUCCAUGAAUGGUCUUAAUGGGAGCUACUAUCAGACAUAACAUCCCUUGGUUCAUCCAGAUUGUGCAUGGCAGAACUCAGUCUAGAAUAGCAACAUUCUAACUUCCUCCCCUCAGCUUCCUUAUUCACCAGGCACAAUGUGAUAUGUCUCUGACCCCCUCAUGUCUGUUUUAAGUCCCUCGGUAAGUGGGGAACAUCUGAAGGGGAAUCUUCUGUACACACAUUGACACUUUGUCUCCAAGACUCUGGUUCAGUGCAAUUGUCCAAAUUGCUUUUACUUCCCCAAAUUAAUGGGGGAAGAGAGACUGAGACUGAGUGACACAUGAGGGUUGGCAUGACUGAGGGUCGUUUGGGAGGUAACAUCUUGGUUCUUCAACAUUACUAUCCUGGGACCAAUUUUUUUUUUGCCAUGUCCAAUGUUAACCACCUGCUUAUUAAAAAUGUAUGCUAUCUGCACUUUCAAUUUUAGAAUGAAGUAGUGCUAUGAAACAUUAGGUAGGCUAGUCCUCCAGUAACAAACUCCGAUAAAUUAGUUUCUUAGAGUGUGCUGAAGAAGAUUGUGCAAGGACAGAAAGGUGUGUUCCCAAACUCACUCUCACAUCCAAAAGUACACACCGACGCACAACUACACACAAAUGCACACACACUUGCAUACGCACAAGUACACACAAGUGAUUCCAACAUUUUAAUUGGUAAAGUACACAAGUACACACACACCCUAACGGCUUAUGUUUCCAAAGGUCGACCCUGGUCUACAUCUACGUCAAGAAGAAAACAUCUUCUUUUGGGUCAUAGAGAAAUGCCAUCUCAGCAUACACUCCCGCUGCUGUACUCUGUCCAUCAAAUCAAAUCAAAUGUAUUUAUAUAGCCCU